rnacentral:rRNA from 1 species
GACGAACGCUGGCGGCGUGCUUAACACAUGCAAGUCGAACGGUAAGGCUCCAGCUUGCUGGGGUACACGAGUGGCGAACGGGUGAGUAACACGUGGGUGACCUGCCCUGCACUUCGGGAUAAGCCUGGGAAACUGGGUCUAAUACCGGAUAGGACCGCACCGUGAGGGUGUGGUGGAAAGUUUUUUCGGUGUGGGAUGGGCCCGCGGCCUAUCAGCUUGUUGGUGGGGUAAUGGCCUACCAAGGCGGCGACGGGUAGCCGGCCUGAGAGGGUGGACGGCCACAUUGGGACUGAGACACGGCCCAGACUCCUACGGGAGGCAGCAGUGGGGAAUAUUGCACAAUGGGCGGAAGCCUGAUGCAGCGACGCCGCGUGGGGGAUGACGGCCUUCGGGUUGUAAACUCCUUUCACCAUCGACGAAGGGUUUCUGACGGUAGAUGGAGAAGAAGCACCGGCUAACUACGUGCCAGCAGCCGCGGUAAUACGUAGGGUGCGAGCGUUGUCCGGAAUUACUGGGCGUAAAGAGCUCGUAGGUGGUUUGUCGCGUCGUCUGUGAAAUUCCGGGGCUUAACUCCGGGCGUGCAGGCGAUACGGGCAUAACUUGAGUACUGUAGGGGAGACUGGAAUUCCUGGUGUAGCGGUGAAAUGCGCAGAUAUCAUGAGGAACACCGGUGGCGAAGGCGGGUCUCUGGGCAGUAACUGACGCUGAGGAGCGAAAGCAUGGGGAGCGAACAGG